GAUGAAGAACGUAGCGAAAUGCGAUAAGUAGUGUGAAUUGCAGAAUUCAGUGAAUCAUCGAAUCUUUGAACGCACAUUGCGCCCUUUGGUAUUCCUUAGGGCAUGCCUGUUCGAGCGUCAUUUAAACCUUCAAGCUAAGCUUGGUGUUGGGUGACUGUCCGCUUCACUGCGGACUCGCCUCAAAAUUAUUGGCGGCCGGUACAUUGGCUUCGAGCGCAGCAGAAACGCGAACUCGGGCCCGUCGUAUUGGCUCCCAGAAGCUAUCUUCACAAUUUUGACCUCGGAUCAGGUAGGGAUACCCGCUGAACUUAAGCAUAUCAAUAGGCGGAGGA
rnacentral:misc_RNA from 1 species